rnacentral:rRNA from 1 species
GGGGAAUCUUGGACAAUGGGCGCAAGCCUGAUCCAGCCAUGCCGCGUGAGUGAAGAAGGCCUUAGGGUUGUAAAGCUCUUUUGGCAGGGACGAUAAUGACGGUACCUGCAGAAUAAGCCCCGGCAAACUUCGUGCCAGCAGCCGCGGUAAUACGAAGGGGGCUAGCGUUGUUCGGAUUUACUGGGCGUAAAGCGCACGUAGGCGGAUUGUUAAGUCAGGGGUGAAAUCCCGGAGCUCAACUCCGGAACUGCCUUUGAUACUGGCAAUCUGGAGGCUGGAAGAGGUUGGUAGAAUUCCCAGUGUAGAGGUGAAAUUCGUAGAUAUUGGGAAGAAUACAAGUGGCGAAGGCGGCCAACUGGUCCAGAUCUGACGCUGCGGUGCGAAAGCGUGGGGAGCAAACA